CUUCACCCGUUCCCUUGGCCGAGUUGGCCGCCGCGCGGUUCUUGGCCGGCGUCGGCCCGCUUCCGCUGCUGCGCCGCCUGCCGCCCAAACCCAUCUCCCGGAGAAGCUGCUCCUCGAUGUCGGUGGAGUACGUCUUCCCGGCGCCGAAUCCAACCGGCUUCGGCCGGUUCUUCAGAAAUUCAUCCUCAUCAACCUCCACCUCCACCUCCACUUCCUCAUCGUCUUCCUCCUCCUCCUCCUCCUCCUCCUCGUCAUCCUCAUCCUCCUCCUCUAACUCGCCCAAGCUGGUCGCCACGGGCUCGCGGUCCCGGCGGCCGUAUUUCCGCAGGCGAGGGAAGGCGAAGAGGAGGUGGGACGCGCGUAGCCGAGAAGGCGGGGGCAGCGAGACGGCGACGGGCGCUGGCGCUGGCGCCGGUGCCGGCCCAGCCGCCGCGGCGGUCGGCGGCGACAGUAGCAGCAGCAGUGGCAUUUCGUGUUCCCUUUUUGCCUUUUUUUCCCCUUUUCUUUUUUUAAAAAAACUUCGGUGACGGUCCUCUUUUAUCAUCGAGAGGGAGGGAGAGUGAACUGCCACCGUCCGUUCGAUCCUUAUCAAAACAGCAUCGCGUCCUCUGCCUCCUCUUCCCCACGCCGCCGGCCGCGCCGCCGCUGCCGCCGUCGCCCCGCGCCCUUCUCCCUCAUCCCCGCCGCUGUGAGGUGUCAACUCCGUCGCCGCCUCCCCUGUGGUAGCACGAGGGGAACCAGGGCUCACAUGCUACUCGAUCGGGGCGUAACUUUGGAUAGCCAUGGCGGCUAUGCUUCUUCGCCUUCAUCCCUGCCCUCUCCUCUUUCCGCCGCCGCCACCGCACCCACAUCUCCGCCGCCAGCUGGCCGUCUAUUCGAUCCCGAAAUCCUCCUUCCGAUCCGCCGCCGCCGCGGCUCGAGCUAGAAACCCUCCGCGUCUGGCCUCCGUCGGUGGAGCCGAGCGACGGCGCGUGGGUGACGAUUAUGAUGAAGAGGAAGAGGACUUGGGACAGGCUCUCGAGAGAACGCGGCAACUUGUCGAGUGCGCGAUGUUCGCAUCCGUCGCUGGCCUCGCGUACUUCCUCAGCAACUCCCUCGCCAUCGAGAAUUACUUUAGCUGCUUUUUUCCAUUGCCGAUUGUUAUCUCCUCCUUAAGAUGGGGACUAGAAGCUGGCAGGAAAACUGCGGUGGCUACUGUUUUACUGCUAUUCACAUUGUCUGGCCCUGUAAAAGCAUCAACUUAUCUGCUCAUGCAUGGAGUAGUAGGUCUGGCCAUGGGUACUAUGUGGAGGUUGGAGACCAACUGGAUUGUUUCCAUCAUACUCUGCUCAAUUACCCGGGCUCUAGGGGCUUGUGGAUACGUUUUAUUGUCGUCAUUUCUGAUAAGAGAGAAUAUUCUUGGAUUGAUAACAGUCAAUAUACAUGCUUCCCUGACAUACAUUCUGGCGGCAGCUGGGGUGAACACGAUUCCUUCCAUGGAUGCAAUUUAUGUACUCUUUGGAACGCUGCUUCUACUCAACUGUGGAUUCUUUAUCUUCCUACUACAUAUAAUGUAUACAAUAUUCCUGACUAAGCUCGGAAUAAAGCCUUCAUUGAGACCUCCAAGAUGGCUGGACAAAGCAAUUUGAGUUUACAGCCCACGGAUCGGCGACACACCAUGGAGGAGGACGAUGACACCGUGUCGGUUGAUGGCGGUGGCCGGCGGCGGUUGAGGCGAUGGCACUGCUUUAGCCCUCGCUGCUAGACGCUGGGCAGCACCUUAACCAGCAAGGAGGUGUUCAUCUGGGCCAAUAGCAACAACCAACGGCUGCUCCACAUUGGCGACAUUGAUAGAACAAGCAAGUCCUACAUUUGCACAUCGUGCUCCAUGUGGCUGGCCACAGAGGAUAGAGUGGAAUCCGCCGGUGAUGGAGGAUGUUUGCUAUUUUUCUUUUGCUCGUUAUCUCUAUUGACAUGAACGAGAAUGUUUUUGCAUUUUUUUUUGCUUGCUAGAUGAUGGAUGGCUGCUAAUGCGCAGCGUCGAGCUCAUCUCUAGACCACACCGCUACAUCCUUCCAUGAUUCCAUCGUCGACUACUGCUCGCCACCUGGUUGCCCUCUCCACUACCAGUCACAAGACACAGACCUCUCUCUUCAUCCUUAUAGCAAGAUCCAGCAAGCCACCAGAAAGAUUUUUGACUGAACCAUUUUUUUUCUUUUCUAGUUUGAUUCACCUGUGAGUAAUUUUAUCGCUUGUGUGAUUGAGCCUGCAAUUUUUUCAUUCAUACGGCUAUUUUGUGAGACAGAUCAACAAUACUCUUAGUACCAGUUUUUACUAUUA